CAUUUUAUUUUGUUCCGUGAGCACAUCACACCACCAUCGACAUGGCGAGUGACGACGGGUUGAAAACCGAAGCACCGAACACACGCGCACCGCAGGCCGCAGCUUGUCAGUUGUCCGUAUCGCCGCCCAUCGCCAUGCUCGCCUACCUCCUCCACGGCCCAGCCGCCGCCAUCGCCGCGGCGCCCAGCGCCUUCCUCCUCCGCUCCCUCCCGCCGGCGAAGACCCCGUUCCUAUCCUCUCUCCCGCGCCCGGUCUCGCCGAGGCGCGCUGCCGCAGCCGCGUUCGCCUUCAACCCCGCUGCCGCAGCGGCCCCCAUCGUGGCGUCGCUGCUCGAGGGCCCCGUGCUGGUCUGGGCCGGCCGGCUCUGCCUCUACUACGCGCUCCUCCACGUCGGGCUCGCCGGCUCCCCGCGCAACCCCUUCCUCUCUCACGAGAUCGGCGGCGAGGACGGCGCCGGGGAUAGCGACCUAGGGUUCUCCAAGUGGGCCGAGAAGCUCCGUGGCGGUGCCUCAGGUUUCGUGCAGUUCUCUAAAUUUUGUUUGCCCGAUUACAAUUGUUUGUUUGCUUAUUUAUUUAUGCAUUCCUCGGAUUUGUCGUUGAUGCUCUGUUCGGUGGAAGUGGAUGCUAUGAAAGAGUUAUACGGUUCUGCCCUUCGGCAUCUGAAGGACCAUAUAGUACAUGACUACAUGGUGGUGAAAAAGAUGCUCAGCAUAAGAGAAAGCUAACUAGCAAAUGGAAGCCCACGACCAAAGGCACACUGAAGAGAACCUACCGAGUACGUUCAACGGAUGAAGGAAGGCGGAUCCUGAAGGAGAUUGCUUCAGUUCUGUCCCAAGAUGAUCAUUUUGUGGAUGCUUCGUCUCACAAGGGUUGCCAAAUUAGGAGGGAAAGUGCUCAUGGCGAAAGUGUUUGCUGCUACAACGUGAGAGCGUUGUUCGAUGAGCUUCCAACUCCUCACUUGCUUCUGGAGAUAACACCGUUUCCUGCUGGACAACUUACGGACAACGACUACCGUAAGGCAGAGAGGCUUGAGAUGGUCCUGAGGCUCAGCACUUCUAUUUAAAAAACCUGGGGACUGAUUUUUCAAUUUCCCCUAAUACUUAAUUUGCCCAAGUUGUAAAUUGUCUUCCUAUGGGCCUGUAAAUUGACGCAGUUGGCAAAGAAUCACUUGAAAACACAAGUUCUGGUUGCAUGGAUUGAUCCAUUGAGAUACUUUAGUUCAUUAA